AGCUUAAGGAGAUGAAUCUGGAGUUAGACCUGCCCAAUGUAGAAGUUAUUAAUGGCCGCGGUACUUUGACCGUGCUAAGGUAGCGUAAUCAAUUGUCUUUUAAUUGGAGUCAGGUAUGAAUGGAGUAACGUGGUUCGGCUGUCUCCUAAGAAAUUAUUUGAAAUUACUAUAGAGAUGAAAAAGUCUUUAGUAAGAAAAAAGACGAGAAGACCCUUAGAGUUUUUCUAAAAACAAUUUAAUAAUUUUUUUGCAAAAGUUUGGUUGGGGCAACUUGAGAAAAGAUAUACCAAUUUCUUUAAAAGCACAAAUCGGUUAUUUUAAAUUUGUAUAAACUACCUUAGGGAUAACAGCAUUAUGUAAAAAAUAAGUUUGUGACCUCGAUGUUGGACUGGGAAACUAUAAAGCUAGCCGUUUUUUAGGAAAGUUCUGUUCGAACUAGGAUUCCC
rnacentral:rRNA from 1 species